CAACCUGCCCAUCACUUGGGGAUAACCUUGCGAAAGUAAGACUAAUACCCAAUGACGUCUCUAGAAGACAUCUGAAAGAGAUUAAAGAUUUAUCGGUGAUGGAUGGGGAUGCGUCUGAUUAGCUUGUUGGCGGGGUAACGGCCCACCAAGGCGACGAUCAGUAGGGGUUCUGAGAGGAAGGUCCCCCACAUUGGAACUGAGACACGGUCCAAACUCCUACGGGAGGCAGCAGUGAGGAAUAUUGGUCAAUGGGCGAGAGCCUGAACCAGCCAAGUAGCGUGCAGGAUGACGGCCCUAUGGGUUGUAAACUGCUUUUAUAAGGGAAUAAAGUGAGUCUCGUGAGACUUUUUGCAUGUACCUUAUGAAUAAGGACCGGCUAAUUCCGUGCCAGCAGCCGCGGUAAUACGGAAGGUCCGGGCGUUAUCCGGAUUUAUUGGGUUUAAAGGGAGCGUAGGCCGGAGAUUAAGCGUGUUGUGAAAUGUAGACGCUCAACGUCUGCACUGCAGCGCGAACUGGUUUCCUUGAGUACGCACAAAGUGGGCGGAAUUCGUGGUGUAGCGGUGAAAUGCUUAGAUAUCACGAAGAACUCCGAUUG
rnacentral:rRNA from 1 species